GUGAAUCAUCAAAUCUUUGAACGCACAUUGCACUCCUUGGUAAUCCGAUGAGUAUAUCUGUUUGAGGGUCAGCCUAAAAAAAAUUGACAUAGUUGCUGUUUCGCGGUGACAUUCGUCGGAAAUUGUGUCAUCUUAAACCUUUGGGUUUUAAGCGGCUUAAAAUUGUCUUUACGAUUCCACGAACGUUUCUAAGAUUUACUUCUUACACGUUUAAGGUAUCGAUCUUUAUGAGACGUGGCCGUUGCAUCGGAUCACGGCCAUAAAUAUGUCGUUAACUGACCUCAUACAGGUAAGAACACC
rnacentral:misc_RNA from 1 species